ACUUCUGAACUCUCAGAAUUGGAUCCUUCCUGCCUGUUGACUUAUCACUCCACCUUUCACCAGCUCAGUAUUUUAAUAAAAAGCUUUUCUUAAAACUCCUAAGGCAAAACUUGAAACUACACAUAACUCAGUCAAGUCUGGAGAGCAAUUUAGUAGCCCACAUGCAUAUUAAAAUGCUAUGCUUCUGCAUCACAGUGGCCUUAAAUAUGUUUUAAUUGGCUUAAGCUUUGCAAUUACAUCUCUAGAAUCUGCCAGUAUGCUCAAGGAAAGAGCAGCAGAGAACAGAUGAAUUUUAUAAUCCCCAAAUGUAUAAAUAACAUGCGGAAAGUCAGAUUUCUCAUCUUUUUCUGUCCGUGGUUUGUAGAAGAAUCUCUCCCUGUUCAAGAACUAAUCUGAGUUUUACAGACCUACAGAGAGCACCCACUCAGCGCUUGUCCAUCCCCCUACCCACCUCAGGUCAACAUGGGCCUCACUCCAACAGUUUAGCUAUGCGUUGGACCCAGAGCAGGAGGCAACAAGAAGAUGCAACCAGACUGUAACAGAGAAGAAUUAGCAAAGCCAUAUUUAACAUCCCUCACACUAUCAGAGUCCUGCCUGGGGACCCAUCCUUCUUGGGCAAUCAUUUUUCAUGCUACUCCAACACAAAGAGUGAUUUCUUUGCUGAAAACUUCAUCACAGAAACAUAGAUUCAAACAGCAUUCCAUCCUGAAGUGAACUGAAAGCCGUAUUUCUUUAAAAAUGAAAUAGAAUAACAACCUUUCCAUUGCUACAGCCUCUGUAGAACCAGUUUAUAAUUUGAAAGCAACGCUGUUAGUUAAACCACCCAACACUCAGACCAUGCAGAAACGACAGCCCGUGCUUUAAGAAGUAUUGACUGCAGCAGGACUCUUGCUCUGAAAACUUGCCAUCUCCUUUAAUUUGCGAUUUUAGGACCACUUAAAAUAAUUUUUCUCACAUAAAACAGCCUCUGCCCUUGCUGCUUAUUGAAGUCAAGCACUAGGUAGUGGUUACAGGGAAGAGACAACAGUUCAAACCAUUAUUACACCCUCCACUUGCAAACGAGGACUUUAUUGUUUGUUAAUCUCAAAACAUAUAAUUUUAUGUCAGCUUUAGA
rnacentral:lncRNA from 1 species